CUCAGGUAUUGAAACUUUUCGG
rnacentral:miRNA from 1 species